AUUGAACGCUGGCGGCAUGCUUUACACAUGCAAGUCGAACGGCAGCGCGGGGCAACCUGGCGGCGAGUGGCGAACGGGUGAGUAAUAUAUCGGAACGUACCCAAGAGUGGGGGAUAACGUAGCGAAAGUUACGCUAAUACCGCAUACGAUCCAAGGAUGAAAGCAGGGGACCUUCGGGCCUUGUGCUCCUGGAGCGGCCGAUAUCUGAUUAGCUAGUUGGUGAGGUAAAGGCUCACCAAGGCGACGAUCAGUAGCUGGUCUGAGAGGACGACCAGCCACACUGGAACUGAGACACGGUCCAGACUCCUACGGGAGGCAGCAGUGGGGAAUUUUGGACAAUGGGCGCAAGCCUGAUCCAGCAAUGCCGCGUGAGUGAAGAAGGCCUUCGGGUUGUAAAGCUCUUUUGUCAGGGAAGAAACGGUGGGGGCUAAUAUCCUUCACUAAUGACGGUACCUGAAGAAUAAGCACCGGCUAACUACGUG
rnacentral:rRNA from 1 species